rnacentral:rRNA from 1 species
GAGGAAUAAGCAUCGGCUAACUCCGUGCCAGCAGCCGCGGUAAUACGGGGGAUGCAAGCGUUAUCCGGAAUCAUUGGGCGUAAAGCGCCUGUAGGUUGUUUAAUAAGUCUGUUGUUAAAGACUAGGGCUUAACCCUAGAAAAGCAAUGGAAACUACUAGACUAGAGUAUGGCAGGGGUAGAGGGAAUUUCUAGUGUAGCGGUGAAAUGCGUAGAUAUUAGAAAGAACACCGGUGGCGAAAGCGCUCUACUGGACCAUUACUGACACUCAGAGGCGAAAGCUAGGGUAGCAAAAGGGAUUAGAUACCCCUGUAGUCCUAGCCGUAAACGAUGGAUACUACAUGUUGUGCAUUAUGUACAGUAUGGUAGCUAACGCGUUAAGUAUCCCGCCUGGGGAGUACGCUCGCAAGGGUGAAACUCAAAGGAAUUGACGGGGGCCCGCACAAGCGGUGGAGCAUGUGGUUUAAUUCGAUGCAACGCGAAGAACCUUACCAGGACUUGACAUACUACAAAUUCUUUUGAGAAAAAGAAGUGCCUUCGGGAAUGUAGAUACAGGUGGUGCAUGGCUGUCGUCAGCUCGUGUCGUGAGAUGUUGGGUUAAGUCCCGCAACGAGCGCAACCCUUAUUUUUAGUUACCAAUUCGUUGGGUUCUCUAGAAAGACUGCCGGUGACAGACCGGAGGAAGGUGAGGAUGACGUCAAGUCAGCAUGCCCCUUAUGUCCUGGGCUACACACGUGCUACAAUGGUUAAGACAAAGAGUCGCGAGCUCGUGAGAGUCAGCUAAUCUCAUAAACUUAGCCCAAGUUCAGAUUGUAGGCUGCAACUCGCCUACGUGA